ACCACACGGGGUACAACAUCAGAUGCAUAAUGUACUACUCAUUAAAAAAACACGAUAUCACUAUCUCAUUAGGGUUUCAGAUGUCUCAUCUCAUUCCUAUCCGCCUCCCUCUCUCUCUCUCUCGGCGAUUCAGAAACCCAAAGCUAUCUUCACGGUUUUUUCCGACGACAUGGAUUAGGAUUUCAGGGUUGUAUCUUUCUCUGUAUCCAGAUGAAGAUGGAGCGGUGGAGAUACCGUCGACUUAGAUCUACCGUAUCACCGUCGAGCCAGGUAAUUUUUUUGCUGAAAUUUUCGCAGAUCUACUGUACUACCGUCAUUUUUUUGAGAUGAAACUGGGUUUUUUUGUAGAUCGAUGUACGAACUUUGGAUCUGAUGUCAUUUAGUGUUUAACUUCGUUUAAUUUUUCUCAGAUCUACUGUACUGCCGUCAUUUUUUGAGAUGAAACUGGGUUUUUUGUAAAUCGAUGUACGAACUUUGGAUCUGAUCUCAGUUAGGGUUUAACUUCGUUUAAUUUGUUUGAAUAUGCUGAUAUAUAUUUGUUUGAAUUUGCUGAUAUCUGAAACCUUUGCUGAUAUUCAACCACAAGCACCGAAUCGAAAUUAAGCUCAAGGAGAUGGAUGGAGUGACAAUCUCCGAACAAUAACCAACCGAGAAGAAAAAAGGCUUUCCUGAUUGGAUAAACUUGAUGAAGCCCACCAAUGAGGAGAAAGAUCAUUGGAAUGUUGUUGUCCCGAGAUUGAAAUCUUGGAUCCGUAAAGUUGUAAAUGAAGAUGUAGAAGAAGAUGUUGCAAUAAAUCUGACAAAAACCCGACAUUGGCUGAACAAGCUGCUGCGGCAAAAGCGGCAGCAGCAGCAGCGUCGGAUGUGGCACGUGCUAGCCAGGAGAUGUUGGCGUCAAAAACUAAAGAGAAGAAAUUCUAUCGGGUACUUCUGAAGGUAUAAGAAAUGAGUACACUAGAUGUUGCGAGAACGGAACUUGCUCUACGUGUUUUGUAUUUGAACAAAGCUGAAGCCCGGAACAAGAUAUGCAGGGCAAUACAAUACGGUUCAAAUUUCGUAAGUAAUGGCAAGCCAGGAACUGCCCAAAAUGUUGACAAGUCAACUAGCUUGGCUACGUAAGUUUUCCGUCUUUUUAAGUUUGUCAAUGAUUUGCAUGCUCUUAUCAGUCCAACUGCUCCAGGAACUCCGCUUUCACUUGUUUUACUGGGGAAGGUAAUCGUUUUUUCGAUUAGUAAGUCAAUUUUAUUUUUUCAUUUUGACAUUUUCUGAUCAACAAUGCUUUGUUUCAAUUGAAAAAUGCUGUAUUGUCGACUUUCUUGUUCCUUGACCAAAUUGUUUGGCUCCAUAGAUCAGGCGUCUACAAGAACAAAGAGCAUGCAGAAAUAAUUGGCAGGGUAUCGCUC